GCAGGACACAUGAACAUCGACAUUUCGAACGCACAUUGCGGUCCACGGAUACAAUUCCCGGACCACGCCUGGCUGAGGGUC
rnacentral:rRNA from 1 species